AUUGAACGCUGGCGGCAGGCCUAACACAUGCAAGUCGAACGGUAACAGGAAACAGCUUGCUGUUUCGCUGACGAGUGGCGGACGGGUGAGUAAUGUCUGGGAAACUGCCUGAUGGAGGGGGAUAACUACUGGAAACGGUAGCUAAUACCGCAUAACGUCGCAAGACCAAAGAGGGGGACCCUCGGGCCUCUUGCCAUCGGAUGUGCCCAGAUGGGAUUAGCUUGUUGGUGGGGUAACGGCUCACCAAGGCGACGAUCCCUAGCUGGUCUGAGAGGAUGACCAGCCACACUGGAACUGAGACACGGUCCAGACUCCUACGGGAGCAGCAGUGGGGAAUAUUGCACAAUGGGCGCAAGCCUGAUGCAGCCAUGCCGCGUGUAUGAAGAAGGCCUUCGGGUUGUAAAGUACUUUUCAGUCGGGGAGGAAGGGAGUAAAGUUAAUACCUUUGCUCAUUGACGUUACCCGCAGAAGAAGCACCGGCUAACUCCGUGCCA
rnacentral:rRNA from 1 species